rnacentral:rRNA from 1 species
UACAGAGGUCUCAAGCGUUGUUCGGAAUCACUGGGCGUAAAGGGUGCGUAGGCCGCACGGUAAGUCAGAGGUGAAAUCCCGGAGCUCAACUUCGGAAUGGCCUCCGAUACUGCCGUGCUUGAGGACUGGAGAGGAGUCUGGAAUUCACAGUGGAGCAGUGAAAUGCGUAGAUAUUGUGAGGAACACUAGUGGCGAAGGCGAGACUCUGGACAGUUCCUGACGCUGAGGCACGAAGGCCAGGGGAGCAAACGGG